rnacentral:rRNA from 1 species
GCCUGCUACUGACGCUGAGGCGCGAAAGCCGGGGGAGCGAACAGGAUUAGAUACCCUGGUAGUCCCGGCUGUAAACGGUGGGCACUAGGUGUGGGGGGCAUCGACCCCUCCCGUGCCGCAGCUAACGCAUUAAGUGCCCCGCCUGGGGAGUACGACCGCAAGGUUGAAACUCAAAGGAAUUGACGGGGGCCCGCACAAGCGGUGGAGCAUGUGGUUUAAUUCGAUGCAACGCGAAGAACCUUACCUAGGCUUGACAUGCACCGGACAGGUGUGGAAACACACCCUCCUUUCGGGGCCGGUGUACAGGUGCUGCAUGGCUGUCGUCAGCUCGUGUCGUGAGAUGUUGGGUUAAGUCCCGCAACGAGCGCAACCCUUGUCCCUAGUUGCUAACAUUCAGUUGAGCACUCUAGGGAGACUGCCGUCGAUAGGACGGAGGAAGGUGGGGAUGACGUCAAGUCCUCAUGGUCCUUACGCCUAGGGCUACACACGUGCUACAAUGGCCGGUACAAAGGGUUGCAAGACCGCGAGGUGGAGCCAAUCCCAAAAAACCGGUCUCAGUUCGGAUUGCAGUCUGCAACUCGACUGCAUGAAGUCGGAAUCGCUAGUAAUCGCUGAUCAGCAGGCAGCGGUGAAUAUGUUCCCGGGCCUUGUACACACCGCCCGUCAAGCCACGAAAGCUGGUAGUACCCGAAGUCGCUGUCCUAACCGCAAGGAGGGAGGCGCCUAAGGUAAGGCUGGUGAUGGGGCUAAGUCGUAACAAGGUAACCGUA